rnacentral:rRNA from 1 species
UACAGAGGGUGCGAGCGUUAAUCGGAAUUACUGGGCGUAAAGCGCGCGUAGGCGGCUUUGCAGGUCGGGUGUGAAAUCCCCAGGCUUAACCUGGGAACUGCAUUCGAGACUGCAUUGCUAGAGUAUGGGAGAGGGAAGUGGAAUUUCCGGUGUAGCGGUGAAAUGCGUAGAUAUCGGAAGGAACAUCAGUGGCGAAAGCGACUUCCUGGACCAAUACUGACGCUCAUGUGCGAAGGCGUGGGGAGCAAACAGG